UCCCUGGUAGACUAGUGGCUAGCAUGUGGCACUUUCACUGCCAUGGCCUGGGUUUGAUUCAUGGUCAAUAAA